AUAACUUAAAAACUAGAAGCCUGCUGCGGCUAAAAGUAUAUAUAUUUGCAAUCAGGAGAACUCCCUCUAUCGUUCCAUAGCUAUCUUAAUGCGGAACUCUGGGGAUGCCAAACUAAAUUGCAGCCGAAUCUAAUAUAACGUUUUAUUACGCUAAAUUGUCUUUAAAA